rnacentral:rRNA from 1 species
AUGGCCUGCCACUCGCGCCGCCGCUUCACCAUCGAGCUCGCGCGUCACGCCUCGGGAGAAGAGGAAGCCCACGCCAUUGUUCCCGGCGGAGCACGCCUUCGACGGGAGGAGGCCAGGCAGAUCGGGCCGUCGCCGCCGCCACUCAUUCGCGCCUCCUCCUCCCCACCGGAUCACGACCGAUCCUUCCUUGUGCCAGCCCCUUGUGGCCAUGAAGGGUGGUUGAGCCAUCGGGAGCGGCGGCGAUGGCCUGCUACAACUGCCUCUUCUUCCUUGUUGGCUUGUUCGCCUCCCUCCUCUUCACCCAGUGAGAGCGGGGAGGGAGGGGGGAGGCAGGGGGAUGGAGAUGGACAGGGGAAGGAGAAAAGAGUAGAGAGAUGUGGAUUACACCACCAAAGGGUCUUUUUGAGGUCAACACACGUCAUGGGUAAUCAAAGAAAGAAAGAUGACAAGAAGGCCAAGGUGAUGGCCGACGGCGACGACAGCAUGGUCACCAUCUUCAGCAACAUCGACUCCCAGGAAAGAAGAAAAAGGAUUAUCAAGAGGCUUAGAAGGUUGCAAUACCUCGUGCCCAACAUGGAUAAGCAAACAAAUACUUCAGACAUGGUCAACAUUGUUGUAGACUACAUCAAAGUGGACCAAAUUGAGAAACUAAAAACAGGACCAAGGAAACUGCUCAUGCUGAGCCGAUCAGAAGUGCUGACGCCGCAGAACCAGAUAUGCGAGGUUGAAGGCACAUAUUAUAAGCAGUUACGAUUUAGUAUUGACUGCGUGGCAGGAGACCUUGCACCAGGCAUGCCACCCAAUCUGGCGAGCCUUGCGACUGCCAGAAUCUAUUUGUCUUUCUCCUUAGCCAGACCCACUUUUUCAACUGGGACGGAUUCAAGGGGGGACGAGGGGGGGCUAGACCCCCUGCAACGAUCGUGUCGCCCCCUUAAUAGGGGUUGUUGUUCGCUAAUUUUUCCUCUUAGACAACUGGCCAUGGGCUGUUUCGCCCCCCCUGUCCAUGUGUCAUUCGUUAACGAGAAGCCAUGCAGAGAAUCAGAGAAGGGAAGGGGACGGCCGCUGGUGAGCGCAGAUCAGAUGAGCGGCAACAAAACGAGGAAAACAGACCCUAAAAUUUUCUACCACAACAUAGCAGUUGCCGAUGAACUUAGUGCGAAAUCUCGCCCCCCCUAUGCCGAAAUCCUGGAUCCGUCCCUGUUGGCUAAUGAUGUGCAUGGACCUCACAUCACAACACCCGAGCGAGUCUGGCAAGGCUUGCUCGCCAUGGCCUAUAACGUCAGCGAGACGGGGCGAGCACAUGAUCACCAUUAG